UACGUAGGGGGCAAGCGUUGCUCGGAAUUAUUGGGCGUAAAGGGUAGGUAGGUGGUCUCAUUUGUCUGGGGUGAAAGCCUUGAGCUUAACUCAAGAAGUGCCCCAGAAACGGUGAGACUGGAGUCCUGGAGAGGGUCGUGGAAUUCCCGGUGUAGCGGUGAAAUGCGUAGAGAUCGGGAGGAACACCAGAGGCGAAAGCGGCGACCUGGACAGGCACUGACACUCAACUACGAAAGCGUGGGGAGCAAACAGG
rnacentral:rRNA from 1 species